GCCCGCCAAAUAACUACGAGUGAAAACUUAAAACUUAAAGGACUUGACGGUACUUCACACCCAACCUAGAGGAGCCUGUCUACUAACCGAUACCCCACGAUUAACCCAACCAUUUCUAGCCAACCAGCCUAUAUACCGCCGUCGCCAGCCUACCUUGUAAAAGAAACAAAGUAAGCUAAACAGUAUUACACUAACACGACAGGUCAAGGUGUAACUAAUGAAAUGGACUAAGAUGGGCUACAUUAUCUAACCCAGAUAACACGAAUAAAGUUAUGAAACUAACCCUUGAAGGCGGAUUUAGCAGUAAGCUGAGAAUAGAACACCCACCUGAAACCAAUGCAAUGAAGUGCGUACACACCGCCCGUCAUCCCUGUAAACACAAAUAUAACACUACAUAAAACUUAAAACAUCAUAAAACAGGGCAAGUCGUAACAUGGUAAGCGUACUGGAAAGUGUGCUUAGAAA
rnacentral:rRNA from 1 species